UACUGUUAGUGAUGAUUUUAAAAUUAAAGCAGAUGGGAAUCUCUCUGAGAAAGAAAAUGGAGAUUAAUCUUAAACUGAAACAGUA
ensembl:snoRNA SNORD79 Small nucleolar RNA SNORD79